rnacentral:lncRNA from 1 species
CACAUCAAAAUAUAUAGAAUGACUAUUAAUCUUAUACUCCCCAAAGGGGCCCACGAAAAUAAUGAGGGACUUUCUCUUAGAUGGAUGAGUUUUCACUUUGCAAUUAAAAAAAGGUAAGGAGGCCCUUCAUCAUACUUUUAUUUAGGGGAAAAGGGGUGUCAUGAAAGAACUUAAGGCUAUUACUAAUUAAUAACACAAAAUUACAAAGCAGAAAAUAAAUCAAACUUUCAUUGACCAUGCAGAUUUCAAGCAGCUUCAUUGAUUAGACCUUAAUAAUGAUAAGAUUUCCUGGAAAUAGAUAAGAACCUUUAUAAUAGGUUUAGAUAUUUAUAUGUAUUAUUAUUACUUGCAUGAUUGUUUUUGAAACAGUAUAAAUUAAAUAUUUUAGCAAGUAGACUGUUAGUGAAAAUAAUACUACAUUUUGCAAUUAUUUAACCUCUAUUGCAGACUAUUAAAAAUAUGCCUUGUUUGCUAGCCUAAGAGAAAUUUUAUCAUAUAAGAUAAUUUAAUUCCAGAGAUUCUCUUUGUUCUAGAAUAAACAACUUUAUUACAAGAAGUCUCAAAUAUGCUGGACUAGAUUGGUGCCUCUAUAAUGGACUUGUUCGCUCUGUCUCUAUUUCAAAGCAAUUUUUAUAUUAAAUUUUAAUUAUUUGUUUAAAUGUGUCUCUUCCCCACCAAGUUAUUCAUUUUAUGAGGAUAGGCAGUGUACCUUUUUUUCUGAUCUUUUUGAUACUUAGCAUAUAGCAUGAUAUAUAUAUAUAUAUUUUUAUUAUUCAAAUGAAUUUAUCACAUCUGUAGUUGUAUAAUGGUCAUAACAAUCCAGUUUCACAGUAUUUCCAUCCCACAACCCAAGCAUAUCCCCACACCCCCCAAACUGUCUCCUCUGGAGAACAUAAGUUUUUUAAUGUCUGUGAGUCGGCAUCUGUUCUGCAAAGAAGUUCAGACAGUCCUUUUUUCAGAUUCCACAUGUCAGUGAAAGCAUUUGAUGUUGGUGCCUCAUUGUCUGACUGACUUCACUUAGCAUGAUAAUUUCUAGGUCCAUCCAUGUUGCUAAAAAUGCCAUUAUUUCAUUCCUUUUAAUGGUUGAGUAAUAUUCCAUCGUGUAUUGAAUAUAAUAGUAAUAUAAGGCAAAGGUUGAUAAAGUUUGACAUUAUAUAUAUAAAAAGUGGUAGAUGAGAACAAAUUUCUUAACCAUCUAAUCUGGGUGUGCAAAAAAGUAUGAAACUAAUAAUUACAAAUGUGAAAUUGCUGUAGUCUAUUUAAUUAAAAUAUUCUGUUCCUUGCAAUUUCUUAACAUUUCCUAGUUUCCUUUCAUUGUUAAUCUUCCUGUUCAAGUAUCAAUUCAAAUGUUAUAUCCUCAGAGAGGACAUCUCUGACUACUCUCUCUGUAUUUCAAUAUCCCAUUUAUUAUUUUACAGAUCUUAGCACAAAAAUAUAGUCAUCUUGUAUACUGGUUUACUAUUUCACUCUCAUUAAUUUAAAUUCAGUACAGGAAGACAUCUUGCCAAUUUUCACCAUUGUAUCCUCAACAUUUAGCAGAAUGCCUGACAGUUAAUGAAGGAAUGAAUGGAUGGAUGGAUGGGUAUGCAAAUACAUAUAUAUGUCACAUCAAGCUUAAUAAAACAAUGUAUAUGAUAACAUGGAAAAAGUAAGGAAAAUAAGAUGUAACUAUUGUAUUUGCCACAAAAUUAUUCCUGGUAUAUUUUCAAUUGUGAAUCCCUGAUCUUCUGCUUGAGUCCAAAAUUUGUCAAAUCCAUCUUUUGGUAAUGUAAGAUUAUAUACUAUUCUAAAGCUAGAUAUUUUAAAAAAUCAACCUCUAGUUUGAUAGCUUAGGCUUUGGUGCUUUAAAGCCUACUCCUUGCUAUAAUACAGAAUUUACCAUUUACUCUCUUACUUGUUUAGAAAUUAAACUAAGCAAACUUCCUUAGUCAGUUUCAAGAUGUAAGGAAUAUUAUUUAUAUAUAUGUAAGAACAUUUAACUUAGCAUUAGAGCUUAAGAUUUAUCAGAACAAUGUAUUAAAUCUGACAGUCAGUUACCCUAAAAUGGAUAACUGCUAUUUAUAAUGUUAAAAGCAGGCCAUCCAAAGAUGUGCAACCCUGGCAGGGGAUUAUUUUCUAAAAACAAGCAAGGCCUCAAAGACACAGAAAGAAGCUUUGAACUUUUCCCUUAUGGCCUGGAAGAAUUUAAGCCAGGAAGCCUAUCCCAGAAAGAAAGUUAUCACCAUAGAUAACUAUGAUGAACUAUGAAUUAAGUGUGGUGGACAGGGAGGAUCCGAGAAAAGUCUAUUUGAUCAGUGUCCUCUCUGUGUCCUAAUGUCUUUGGUAUCCCAGCAAAUAUUUGAUUGCCAAACAUUCAUUAACUCUUUUUAUUUUCCUGUGAAUUACCUUACUUCCCCUUAAGCAUUUCUGCCUCAUUCUCCUUAGUCCAGAAUAUAUAUACACACACACACACAUACACACACACAGAGAGACAUAUACAUAUAUAGACAUAUAUAUAUACUUCAUGUGCAUAUAUAAUAAUAAAUUUAAUAAAUUUGAUUUUUCUCUUGUCAAUCUGACUUAUAUCAUUUCAAUUGCCAGGCAAAAGCACUAAGAGAAUAAAGAUGGUAAAUUCUCGCCCCAAUAUUAUUCUUUGAAACAAAUUUGCUGUAUUCUUACAUAGUCACAAGAUUUUUUAAAUAGGUAAAACAGCAUUUAUUUUAAAUAAUGAAUUUUUCCCAUGUGUGUAAUACUUUAUAUAACCACACUUAUUGUCAGGAUUCUGGCAAGAAAUAAAUGAGUAGUAUAAAGGUGUUUAAUAAAAAGGGGCCUCAUUUGAAAUGUGUGGACAAAGGGUUUAGAGAAGCAGAAAGUGGUAAUACAAGCUGACAUCAAAAGUCUUGGCCAUCACAGAGGUCAGCCUCCUAGGACAGAGCAAUGCAGAGAAGUACAGAAAAUGGAGUAGGAUGGAUAUAUGGACAAAUUGGGGCACAGCGUGAUAUAAUGCACAUGUAAAUGACUUCUGAGAAUGCUUGAUUUUGAUACCAAAGCUUUAUAAAUUUUGAGAAAAAUUUAGUAGUUUUACAGUUUCUCUCUCCUCCCCCACCCACACACACCUACACAUGGGAAAAUACAUUGUAUCUAAAAGGAAAAUUGAGUCAGGGCAUUCCUAUACACAUCUGCUUCUGCUUACAUCUUUAAUUUUUGAGCACAUUAAAUAUAAUAAUAUAAACUAAGCUCAAAAUCAUAUUGUCUGAAAUCUUGUAAUCAAAGAGAUAACUUAGAUUUGUCUUACAAAGAAAGAGAUAAAUGCUAAAAAGAAUUUGAGAGCUUUUCUACCUAAAAAUAAAUAUGACUUGAGAAGUCCUUCCUACAUAGUGAGUUCCUUGAUUCACUUUUUUCUUAGUAUGUUACAUGUGCAAUAUGAGUGUCAGGUAUGCAUUUGGGGAGUUUUAACCUAGAGGUACAGUAAAAGUAUAUAAGAGGAGUUAUAUAGAGUAUCUUAAGAUCACAGUGGUUUCAAAGUAAUUUUUAGCCCCUUAUAGCUAGGAGGUUACCACAUUUUGUCCCUCUUUGUAUAGGGCUGUCUGGCUGUUGAAGAUGCUUUCUACAUAAUGAAUCUUAUCAAGUUCAAAUCUGUGGAAUUCUCUCCAGCUUUUAAAUAAUUUUUCAUAUAAUGGGAUAAAAUGAGAGUAAUAAUAAUAAUGCACAUUUGACCAUCUUGAGUAAAAUGUGUGGGAGCACAGCCUUCAUAUAAUGGAAAAAUAGAGAAUAAGAUGAGCUCAAAUCAGCAAAACUCUGAGUGCAAAGGAAGUUACUCAAGUUUUCUUCUCUUUUCCUUCCUUCCUUCUUUUCUUCUUUCCUUGUUCCUUCCUUUCUUCUCUUUCCUUCCCUCCUCUCUCUCUCUCCCUCAUUCCUUCUCCCUUUCCUUCUUCUCAAACAGAAUAUCUUAUCUUUUCAAUAGACACUGCCCUGAAGGCCUCUAGGACAAUAAAAUAGAUUCACUUUGAAAUAUACAUCCUAAUGGAAUAUUUGACAUGGAAAUGCAAAUCAAGCCCACACCAGGUAUUUGGCCAUGAUAGAGAGUUCAGAUUAAUUAAUUUCAUUACAUAAAGCUAUUAAUCAGCACCUAUUUUAUAGUCACAUGUUAAAUAGUUAACACUUGUGAAAUGAGUCUAAUAUUUUUAAUAUUUCAACUGACAUAUUUUUACUUCUUCUUAAAUCAUCUUUUUACCAACCUCUAAGGUUGAACCACAAAACUUAUCCACAAAAAGGGAAUAAGGGAGUAUGCGCCAUUAAGAAUAAAGAGGUCAAAUAAUAGCUUUGACUAAAAUUUACCUCCCCUCAUAAAACUGGGCAAAAAAAAAUAGCCUUUGUUAAGGGAGAGAAAAUAGAUUUCUCAGUUUCACUCACUUUUAACAAGUCAAGAACCAGGUAUGGUGAACUAACUAGAUUUACAAGAGCUUAGACAUUUCUUUCAUCAUGCACUGAAACUAUGCCUUCCACUACUAAUUAUGAACCAUGAAACUUGGUGGCUCCAGUGAAAAAGGAAGAAUAUGGAGUGAGAGGAAUCCUUACUUCAAAGGGAAAAUAUGGAGGGGAAGCCCACACUUUCCCUUUUGGAUGCCACAUGGAAGGAAAAGGAAGAAAAACAAAGGAGAGAAAGCUAACAAUGAGAUACUUAUGCCUUUGUCUCCUCUCUCUGCCCAUGAAGGACAUGGCUUAGGUUAGGGAGAAGUAAAAGGGAAAUUGAUCUUUUGUUAGACAUUGCCCUAUAGAGGACUUCCUAGUCCUGCUUAUGUUAAUCCAUACCCUAGAACCAACUUGGGCAUUCAGCAGAGGUCUGAAACAGAGUAAUAACUGCAUCAUAGCAUGGUUAGACAAGGAUUCUGAUUGGGUAUUCAUGGGACAUACUUGAUUUGUGGAAGGAUGAUAAGGGUUGGAGAAGACAGAGAUGAAGAGAUUCCCUCAUGCCUUCAAGGUGAGUCAGAGAAUUCAGCUGUUUGCUUCUCUGGUCUAUUGGGAAGGAUUUUACCCUAUAUCUAAGGCUAACCAGAGUUAAGGGUGUGGAAAAAAUUUAAAUUUUAUGGCAAGACAAGAAAAAGUUAAAUAUAAAUUCUUCUAGGCCCUUUGGCCUCUUCUCUCCCCCUAGCAUUCCAAGUUCCCAUUGUGGCUCAGCGGAAAUGAAUAUGACUAGCAUCCAUGAGGAUGCAGGUUCAAUCCCUGGCCUUGCUCAGUGGGUUAUGGGUCCAGAAUUUCCCUGAGCUAUGAUGUAGUUUACAGAUGUAGCUCAGAUCAGGCCUUGCUGUGGCUGUGGUAUAGGCCAGCAGCUGUAGCUCAGAUUUAACCCCUAUUCUGGGAACCUC